rnacentral:rRNA from 1 species
UGGGGAAUUUUGGACAAUGGGGGCAACCCUGAUCCAGCCAUGCCGCGUGAGUGAAGAAGGCCUUCGGGUUGUAAAGCUCUUUCGGCCGGGAAGAAAUCGCAUCAGCUAAUACCUGGUGUGGAUGACGGUACCGGAAUAAGAAGCACCGGCUAACUACGUGCCAGCAGCCGCGGUAAUACGUAGGGUGCGAGCGUUAAUCGGAAUUACUGGGCGUAAAGCGUGCGCAGGCGGUUUUGUAAGACAGGCGUGAAAUCCCCGGGCUCAACCUGGGAACUGCGCUUGUGACUGCAAGGCUAGAGUACGGCAGAGGGGGUGGAAUUCCACGUGUAGCAGUGAAAUGCGUAGAGAUG